rnacentral:rRNA from 1 species
UGGGGAAUAUUGCGCAAUGGGCGAAAGCCUGACGCAGCAACACCGCGUGAGGGAUGACGGCCUUCGGGUUGUAAACCUCUUUCAGCUCCGACGAAGCGAAAGUGACGGUAGGAGCAGAAGAAGCACCGGCUAACUACGUGCCAGCAGCCGCGGUAAUACGUAGGGUGCAAGCGUUGUCCGGAAUUAUUGGGCGUAAAGAGCUCGUAGGCGGUCCGUUGCGUCUGCCGUGAAAACCCGGAGCUCAACUCCGGGCCUGCGGUGGAUACGGGCGGACUAGAGUCCGGUAGGGGAGACUGGAAUUCCUGGUGUAGCGGUGGAAUGCGCAGAUAUCAGGAGGAACACCGGUGGCGAAGGCGGGUCUCUGGGCCGGAACUGACGCUGAGGAGCGAAAGCGUGGGGAGCGAACAGGGAUUAGAUACCCCUGGGUAGUCCACGCCGUAAACGGUGGGCGCUAGGUGUGGGGAUCGUUUCCACGAUCUCCGUGCCGUA